rnacentral:lncRNA from 1 species
CAGUGGCACACAGUUCGAAACUCAAUGAAUAAUGAAUUCCUUUCUAAAUACACAUCAUGCCACUAAACCAAAGCCCUUAGAACUAUGUUUCACGGAUCCUCCAAAAAUAUCGUUGCAUUAUGUCGUAUCCUCUAAAUCUGAAUAACUUUUGGAUGAUCUCUAAUACACCCGACGACAUUUUUGAAAGAUCUGAGUGCCAUAGCCUGGUUAGGUUUGGGGUGGGGGGGGUG